CAUUGUCAAGAAAGAGGCCUCUUCAGACCAUGUUUCAACUCUCAACCAGCCUCCCCCUAAAAACCAGACAGCACAAACCACCCAAGAAGCUGGAAGAACCCAGGAGACUAAAAAAAUUUGCUGGAUGUUCCCAAAUACAAUCCUGUCACGGCCUCGAAGACUCUCUGGGACCCCCUGAGCGGCCAUGGUGGCCAUGUAACCCUGCAGGAAGGUUCGGUUCACUCAAGACAUACCUGGGAAGAGAACAGGAGUGCACAAUGUUGAUCUAGACACUUCCUCUCUACUGGACUAGAAGCCCCUUCAUUACCACAGCCAACCUCAGAGGAAAUUCCAAGUAUCAAAUACA